UCCUCCGUGGCGCAAUUGGCUAGCGCGUUCGGCUGUUAGAAUUUGAUAAUUCAAGCUACCGGAAGGUUCUUAGUUCAAGCCUAAGCGGGGGAG